UACGAAGGGGACUAGCGUUGUUCGGAAUUACUGGGCGUAAAGCGCACGUAGGCGGAUUUGUAAGUCAGGGGUGAAAUCCCGGGGCUCAACCUCGGAACUGCCUUUGAUACUGCAAAUCUCGAGUCCGAUAGAGGUGGGUGGAAUUCCUAGUGUAGAGGUGAAAUUCGUAGAUAUUGGGAAGAACACCGGUGGCGAAGGCGGCCACUCUGGCCCAUUU
rnacentral:rRNA from 1 species